rnacentral:rRNA from 1 species
UGGCGAACGGGUGAGUAACGCGUAGGAAUCUACCCAAGAGUGGGGGACAACCCGGAGAAAUCCGGGCUAAUACCGCAUACGCCCUACGGGGUAAAGUGGGGGAGCUUUUCGGAGCCCUCAUGCUUUUGGAUGAGCCUGCGUCGGAUUAGCUAGUUGGUGAGGUAAUGGCUCACCAAGGCAACGAUCCGUAGCUGGUCUGAGAGGAUGACCAGCCACACUGGGACUGAGACACGGCCCAGACUCCUACGGGAGGCAGCAGUGGGGAAUAUUGGACAAUGGGGGCAACCCUGAUCCAGCCAUGCCGCGUGUGUGAAGAAGGCCCUAGGGUUGUAAAGCACUUUCAGUGGGGAAGAAAAGCUCGAGGAUAAUACCCUCGGGUUAUGACGGUACCUACAGAAGAAGCACCGGCUAAUUCCGUGCCAGCAGCCGCGGUAAU